AUGGGCCUGGCAGAAGCCAUCACCUCCACCUGCCUGCCCGGCCACAGCUGGAAGAGCGUGAUAUUUGAAGAGAAAGUCAGUCCCGGGACAUCCCUCGCUCCAAGGAUGAAAGGGCUCUGCAUCCUGAGUUCCAUCGUGGGCAAAAUCCUGAGCGCUCUCCAGCGGCUGAUGUUGCUCCUUGCCAUCCUGAUCUACACCAUCUUCUUGGCUGAGAUUGCCUUCCAUGUCAUCCUCUCGUUCUCCAUCCCGUGCACCAUUCUGUGUGACCACCUGGUUCCCGCCUCAGUGGCCUUUCUGGACGCUCUGUCCCCUGCCACCGAAGUCUUCUACAACGACGUGCUGGGGUCCCUUUUGCUUUUCUUGAGCGCCCUCCUCCUACCCAUGACGGCUGGCUGCUGUUUGCAUCUUUUCCUCUUCCCCAGUUAUUUCAGGCUCAUGGCGCUUGCAUGGUGAGAGGGAAAGGGACUAAAGUUGCUGACUCAAUACAACCAAUAUGCACCAAUAUGACAGCAGAGUUUUGCUUUUUCUCUUCAGUCCUGUUUAGCCUGUUCGCAGCUCUUCACAUUUUAAUCCUCAUUCAUCAGGAGACAGAGAGAGAAACAAGAGGAGGAAAUGGCCAUCCAGCCUUUGUUUGCAGCUUAUUAAGGUAGUUCUCUUGUAGCUGCGCCUCCUGCAGGGCUACAAGAAAUAUGUUUUAAUAAGCUGCAAACAAGGCUGUUUAGCUAAUUUCCUCCUCCCUGUGUGGCCAGUUAAUGUGAACAGCCUAGGGGAAACCCAUAUUCCUCAGUGUGACUUCACAGUGAGCGAAUCUGCAUUUGUCUCGCUGUGUAGUCACACGCAUAGCUACGCCCUCCAAAACUGCUACAGAUUAACCGUCCCAUAACUGUUAGGGAUGUGGCCAGUUAAAAAGUCAAAAUGCACUUUUUGUGUUUCCUGAAUGAUCUCACAUUACCCACAUCAUUUUGAAUGCCUUUUCUUCACCUAUCUACAAAUGAACUCAAAUAUUCUCCUGUAAUUCUGGGUUUUGGCAAGAGAGAGCAGCCACUGCUUCCCUAUCCUCACAAUCUCACAAUAUCACAGCAUCUUGAUGUGCUUCGAGGGGGAGGCCGACCCAGCUAGAACAAAGCUCCCUCCACGUCUCAGAGACCUUAAGUGGCUUUUUUUGGUUCCUACUGAAUCUGUAGCAAAGAGUUCAAAAAUUUCCCCAAGAGAAAUGGUUUCCAGGAAUAACAUUUAGUGCUGACGUAAAUCCAGAUCAAGUCCUGUGAGCAACCAGGGGGGAAAAAAGGAACCAAAGGACGUGAAGUCCUCCCACUGUUUGUACGAUCUCUUAGAAUGGUGUUGGCCUUCUCUGCCUCAGCAACACUUGGCUAUCUCAGGCAUGGAGCAGGGCAUAGUCAGGCUUGAUAUCAUCCAACCUAAAGCUAGAUGAUGAAAUAAGCAUCAUAAUAUU
rnacentral:lncRNA from 1 species